rnacentral:rRNA from 1 species
GACGAACGCUGGCGGCGUGCUUAACACAUGCAAGUCGAACGGAAAGGCCCUGCUUUUGUGGGGUGCUCGAGUGGCGAACGGGUGAGUAACACGUGAGUAACCUGCCCUUGACUUUGGGAUAACUUCAGGAAACUGGGGCUAAUACCGGAUAGGAGCUCCUGCUGCAUGGUGGGGGUUGGAAAGUUUCGGCGGUUGGGGAUGGACUCGCGGCUUAUCAGCUUGUUGGUGGGGUAGUGGCUUACCAAGGCUUUGACGGGUAGCCGGCCUGAGAGGGUGACCGGCCACAUUGGGAAUGAGAAAACGCCCAGACUCCUACGGGAGGCAGCAGUGGGGAAUAUUGCACAAUGGGCGGAAGCCUGAUGCAGCAACGCCGCGUGCGGGAUGACGGCCUUCGGGUUGUAAACCGCUUUCGCCUGUGACGAAGCGUGAGUGACGGUAAUGGGUAAAGAAGCACCGGCUAACUACGUG